UACGUAGGGGGCAAGCGUUGUCCGGAAUCAUUGGGCGUAAAGCGCACGUAGGCGGCCCUGUAAGUCCGUUGUGAAAGUCAAAGGCUCAACCUUUGAAUGCCGAUGGAUACUGCAGGGCUAGAGUCCGGAAGAGGCGAGUGGAAUUCCUGGUGUAGCGGUGGAAUGCGCAGAUAUCAGGAGGAACACCAAUAGCGAAGGCAGCUCGCUGGGACGGUACUGACGCUAAGGAGCGAAAGCGUGGGGAGCAAACAGG
rnacentral:rRNA from 1 species